UGAGGAAUUUUGCGCAAUGGGGGAAACCCUGACGCAGCGACGCCGCGUGGAGGAUGAAGGCCUUCGGGUCGUAAACUCCUGUCAGAGGUGAAGAAUGCCCGCAAGGGUUUGACGGUAACCUCAGAGGAAGCCCCGGCUAACUACGUGCCAGCAGCCGCGGUAAUACGUAGGGGGCAAACGUUACUCGGAAUUACUGGGCGUAAAGGGUGCGUAGGCGGCUGGGAAAGUCAAGGAUGAAAUCCCGUGGCUCAACUGCGGAACGGUCCUUGAAACUACUCGGCUUGAGGAUAAACGAAGAGAACGGAAUUCCCGGUGGAGCGGUGAAAUGCGUAGAUAUCGGGAGGAACACCUGAGGCGAAAGCGGUUCUCUAGACUACUCCUGACGCUGAGGCACGAAAGCUAGGGGAGCAA
rnacentral:rRNA from 1 species